rnacentral:ncRNA from 15 species
GCAGAUAUAAGUCAAUUGGCAGACCUUCUGAUUUCCACUUAGAUUAUGUUCGUUCGAAUCGGACUAUCUGCA